CACCGCCUGGGGAGUACGACCGCAAGGUUAAAACUCAAAUGAAUUGACGGGGACCCGCACAAGUAGUGGAGCAUGUGGUUUAAUUCGAAGAUACGCGCAGAACCUUACCAACACUUGACAUGUUCGUCGCGACUUUAAGAGAUUAAAGUUUUCGGUUCGGCCGGACGAAACACAGGUGCUGCAUGGCUGUCGUCAGCUCGUGUCGUGAGAUGUUGGGUUAAGUCCCGCAACGAGCGCAACCCUCACUUUUAGUUGCCAUCAUUCAGUUGGGCACUCUGAAAGAACUGCCAGUGAUAAGCUGGAGGAAGGUGGGGAUGACGUCAAGUCCUCAUGGCCCUUACGUGUUGGGCUACACACGUGCUACAAUGGUAUCUACAACAGGAAGCAAGACGGCGACGUUAAGCAAAUCCUUAAAAGAUACCUCAGUUCGGAUUGCACUCUGCAACUCGAGUGCAUGAAGCUGGAAUUACUAGUAAUCGUGGAUCAGCGUGCCACGGUGAAUGCGUUCCCGGGUCUUGUACACACCGCCCGUCACACCAUGGGAGUUGGUUCUACCUUAAGGCAAGGUUUAAAACCCUUGACCACGGUAUAGUCAGCGACUGGGGUGAAGUCGUAACAAGGUAGCCGUAGGGGAACCUGCGGCUGGAUUACCUCCUUUCUAAGGAUGAAUAAAAGUAAAAUUUUAUUCAAAAUAAUAUACAGGUAAUGUUGACCGUCCUCAUUUCUCUUCUUAAAAGUAGUGUUUCUCUUGCAUGGGGGCCGGUAGCUCAGUUGGUUAGAGCACACCCUUGAUAAGGGUGGGGUCGAAAGUUCGAGUCUUUCUCGGCCCACCAAUUUAAGAUCAUGGGGGAUUAGCUCAGCUGGGAGAGCGCCUGAUUUGCAUUCAGGAGGUCAGCGGUUCGAUCCCGCUAUCCUCCACCAAAAACACUUAGUUAUAAAAAAUUGUAAAUAAAAUAAUUAAUAUCAAUAUCUAUAUCCGAACAUUAGAAAUGUUAUUAGCUAAUGUUCAAAAUAAAAAUUUGAUUCAACACAGAAUUUUUUUCUG
rnacentral:sRNA from 1 species